UACGGAGGAUGCGAGCGUUAUCCGGAUUUAUUGGGUUUAAAGGGUGCGUAGGCGGACGCUUAAGUCAGCGGUAAAAUUGCGGGGCUCAACCUCGUCGAGCCGUUGAAACUGGGUGCCUUGAGUGGGCGAGAAGUACGCGGAAUGCGUGGUGUAGCGGUGAAAUGCAUAGAUAUCACGCAGAACUCCGAUUGCGAAGGCAGCUCACUGGACUGCAACUGACACUGAGGCUCGAAAGUGUGGGUAUCAAACAGG
rnacentral:rRNA from 1 species